rnacentral:rRNA from 1 species
UACGUAGGGGGCUAGCGUUGUCCGGAAUCAUUGGGCGUAAAGCGCGUGUAGGCGGUCCGGUAAGUCCGCUGUGAAAGUCGAGGGCUCAACCCUCGAAUGCCGGUGGAUACUGUCGGGCUUGAGUACGGGAGAGGCGAGUGGAAUUCCUGGUGUAGCGGUGAAAUGCGCAGAUAUCAGGAGGAACACCAAUGGCGAAGGCAGCUCGCUGGGACGGUACUGACGCUGAGGCGCGAAAGCGUGGGGGAGCAAACAGG